AGAUGCCACUGCAGAAUGUUUUUGCAAGCAGUAAUAUCCAGAUAAACCAAGAUGAAGUUUAUUUUGGUUACAUUAUUUGCCAUUGGCAUUUUGGUGACACAAUGCAAUGCUGCCUGCUACACACAAAUUAAUGAACUAUCACUUGGUGGAGAGGAACCCAAAGGUUGUUUGGAUGGAAAUGGCGUGCUCCAUGAAUUUAAUACUCGGUGGAGGACAAAAGAUUGCUUGGACUGCAGUUGUGAUACUGAGAUGAUGCACUGCUGUUCGGCUCAUGGUAGACCUGUCAACUACGACAAGAAGAAAUGUUUUGUCAAGUAUGACAAGAAUGCAUGCACUGUGGAAGUACUACAAAAGAAGGAUCCUACAAAGGAGUGCGAGCGUUACGCAAUGGUUGGCUAAUAAUGAGGUCAGCAUGAUCCAGAUUCUAUCCUUAAAUCAUCUCUGAAUCUACUGGAACAAUGACGAUCAAAGCUGCAUUGUCUAUCUUUGUUGAUGAAUAAAAUAGUAGAGUGCUAAAUCACAAUUAAUAUAAAUAUUAAAGUUCAAAAUAUAGAGUAAAGA